AUGCCUUUCUUUAAAAAAAAAAAUGUUAAAACUGUUGUUAGUGAAAUUCCUGGUUGGGAAGAUACUGUGUUUGUUUCUGUUGCUCGUAAUUGGGCCUCCGGCACUGGCCUAAGUGAAAAUUGGGACGGCCGCCUUAGGACGGCUGAUCCCGCACAGGUAUGUGAAGUUUUGGACCUGGUGUCGGUAGAUAAAGGAAAGGAGUUGGCUGCCAUUAGUAGACGAGGCCGGAUUUUGCUGUCUGCUUAUAGGAAACAAUACUUAGCUCGCCGAGCCCUUAUACAGGAAAAAUUGCAGUUAGAAAAAGAAUUGGCUGAUUUACAAGGCAAAUUGUCUACGUUACAAUGUCAGAAUUUUAUCCUUGGUGACCAGGCAAGAAUGUAUCAGGGAGUAGCCGAAAAGGCUGCUGUAAGGUGUGCACAGUAUAAAUAUGGAAAACGAAAGGGGAAAGUGAAUGCAAAGAAGGUGCAUGCUGUCAUUGCAACUGCUAAAGCUGAUUGGGACCCUGAUACUUGGGAUGGUGACAUUUGGGAUGAUACUGAUGAGGAACCUGAUUGGGAUGAGCUAGAUGAAGAAGCUAGGAAGUAUCAUCCCCCUCCUCUGCAAGCUAAGCCGCUAGCUCGUCGGCACCAGAAAACGGCGGCCGACGGGCGGGCAGAAACUUAUUUAAUACAAGAAGAUUUUACACAGCAAGAAAUACAGGAUAUUCUUUUUAAAUUUACGCAGAAACCAAAUGAGUCCUUGUUAGAUUGGAUGGUGCGUAUAGCAGAUAUGGGGGCAGGAGGUAUUAGAAUUGACCAUCAGGAUGCUGGUAAAUUUAUCACAUUCUCCACCAGCCCUACGGUGCAAACUGCUUUUAGAGACCAUCAGCAGGCAGGAGGCAAUGAUGGAGUGGGGACGAUGACUACCAUGUUAGAGUUAGCUGCUAGAGGUUGCAUAGGACAAUAUCCCUUAGAGUCAGCAUGGCCAAGUGAUGAGCGCCCUUGGUGUACAUUACAGGAUGGCAUGAGGAAGUUAAAGAGAGAAGCCAUGAAGACAGCUAUUGCCUUGGGUCAGGCUGAUACCUACUUAACCAUCGGCUUAAUGCCCACGCAUCGUGGUUUGUUAACUAAGACAGCUCCCCCGCCUAUAAGCACCUGA
rnacentral:lncRNA from 13 species